AACCCUCAGGAAAACCCCCAAUCCACCUCCCUCGUGCCCCCACCUCCUGCUCUCCCUGGGGCCGCUCUAGCGUCCCCACCAACUCAGCAGCGGCCAGGCAUUCAAGGCCGGCGGGCUGGGGGUGAGCCAGGCACGUGGAGGCCCAGGCCCAGUGACAGCCAGUGCACGGAGUUCCGCACGCAGCCUCGUGAAGGGAGGCCCAAGGGGAGGCCGCCCAGAGUGCCGGCCUCCAUGCCAGCUGUCAUCUAGCGGGGAGGGGACUCUGAAGAAAAAGAGGGGCCACCGUGAACGGUUAGCACAGGACAGCGUGGAAACCGGGACGCGGGGCCCCCUGGGUCUGCUCGCCCUGGGCACGCAGCUGAGGACGGCUCCUUCCGAACCGCGGCCCCUCGAGCCAGCUGUCCCACCUGCAGAUGCUUUCUGGGUUUUUAGGCUGUGGCACCUCUUUCACAGCAGUGUUCUCCACGAGCGCCGGGCGUGUGCAGUGCAGGGCGCUGGCCCCAUUAUCGGGGUCUGGUGGCCUCCCAUGGGGGAGGCAGUAGGGGGUUAUUUUUAAGAUUUCCAUUUAUUCCAUCAAGCCCCGUGAACAGCCAGGGGCAGCGCAGGCCUCAGGGGGAGCGGGACUGAGGUGGAGAGCACUGCCCCGGGAGGCGCCAUCACCCCCAGGGACCACGCGUCCUGGGGAGCAGGCGGGACAGCCUCCUGAGCUACACCACCACGGGGCCCCUGGGCUGUCCAGCUGCCCCAGGGCAGAUCCCUCGUCAGUGGGGACACGGGACUGCCUCUUCCUUCCAGGAAUGACAGCCAGCUCUCCUUUCCCAGGAUGCUGCCCCUUGCGGAGAGAGACCACAACUUCCCGGGGGGGCAGACCCUGGAAAUCUGGGCAACUGUCACUGCCGGCAACUACUACUCCCAGGAGACCAGAAGGAACCCGAUCGGCCGUGAUAUUCAGGGAAGGGACAGCAAAAAUCGGACGCCCGUGUUGCGUUCAGUGACGGGGGACCUGCUGGCCGCAGCCAGCGGCGCCCUGGGGCUCGCUGAGCUGGCCUGCGCCCCUUCUCCAGGCUGAUGGACCUGGCGCCACAGGCCAGUGGACAAAGCCUCAACCAGCCUCAAUCUGCUGGGCCACGGCUGGACCCUUAAAGUUUCAUUUCGACAAGAGAGCUCAGAGCGAGACUCAGGGCUGAGGCCACCACACCAUCGUGCCCACAGGCCCGUGGGGGGAAGGACUCCCUGAGCCCCGGGGGUUCCCGUUUUCUGGCAAAAGGGCUCACUGCUGUCAUCAGACACCAACUGCUCGUGCCUGCCCCAGCACAUGACAUGCCCAUGGCACCCCCAUGCCCAGCGUCCCGUGUGCCCACAGGCCCAGGAAGGGGCGUGGGGCCACUUAUGUCCACACCAGUAGGCCAGAUGCUCUGACAAAGGCUUAGGGCCCACAGAUCAGCCUGUCCCGGAGACCCAAGGGGACGGGUCUCGGCAAACCUGAGCCAUGGCCUUGUGUGGCCAGCACUCAGGGACCCACACUCUCCAGGUCUGGGGGGAGCUCCGCCCGCAGGCCUGCAGGUCGGACUGGGCUCCAGCACCGGGUCACCCUACUCGGCUGCAAAGCCUUCUGGGUCCUGGCUUCCCCACAUGGGAAGCGAAGGGGCCGAACCCCGUCACUCCUGUUGGCACUUCCCAACAGGAGAGCCCUUGCCUCCCGCAGCCACCGAGGCUCUACAGCUCAAAGUCCACACCCGAGUUCACGGACUCAACAGGAAAAGGACGUGACGUACCUCACCAACAUUUCCCGCAGCGAUGACACGUCGAAGUGACGUGCUAUGUACGUUCAAACAGAGCGUGUUGUUUGAAGAUUAAGAAUUUAUUACAAUGCACGUCAUUAAGACCAAUGCUCCCUGCUGUUCACGUUCCGAACACAGACAUUCCGGGGUAUGAAACGGCGGGGGCAUGUGUCCAACACUGCUCUCCAAGGUGCCCUCCAGCUCUGACGGCUGCAGGUGCUCCGAAUCACUCCCGGUGCCAUCGAGGCCAUAGCCCCUGCGCGGCUCCACUGGGAGAACUGGGGGUGAGUGGGCAGCCACGGGAGAGGUGUGGGGCCUGAAGUGGCCCAACAAGUUCAAAGGAACAGACUGUCCUUCCCCAGCUGGCCUGUCCCGGGGACCCUGAGCCCCUGCACCUCUGGACACGUAGGCCCCGACAGGGGAACACGGUCUGUUUCCCACACUGGUUUUUCCCCCGGCGAGGGCCCCCGAUUUCCCUCCAAGGAAGGCAAAUGCCUGCGCCGCGGCGGCCAGCGGUUUCGUCCACAGGCUGCCUUUGGUGUUGAAGAGCUUUUUAAAAGUGAGAGCAAGAGACCCAUAAAGGUCCUGAACCACCAGCAGGGCGUCAAACGCCACAUCUUAACGGACCCGUCUCUGCCAUUAUCUUUUUUGAAGAUCUAAAUUAUGGUUAUUUUGUUUUUGCUUUGUUAAUUACACAUCCCUUUAAAUAGAACAAAUCUCCCCCUUU